CUGGCUCAGGAUGAACGCUAGCGGGAGGCCUAACACAUGCAAGUCGAACGGGAUUGGGAGCUUGCUCCCAUGAGAGUGGCGCACGGGUGAGUAACGCGUAUGCAACCUACCUUUAACAGAGGGAUAGCCCAUAGAAAUGUGGAUUAAUACCUCAUAGUUCUGAGAGACCGCAUGGUUUUUCAGAUAAAGCUCCGGCGGUUAAAGAUGGGCAUGCGUGACAUUAGUUAGUUGGUGAGGUAACGGCUCACCAAGACUACGAUGUCUAGGGGUUCUGAGAGGAUGAUCCCCCACACUGGUACUGAGACACGGACCAGACUCCUACGGGAGGCAGCAGUGAGGAAUAUUGGUCAAUGGGCGCAAGCCUGGACCAGCCAUCCCGCGUGAAGGAUGAAGGCCCUAUGGGUCGUAAACUUCUUUUAUACACCAAGAAAAAGCAGGACGUGUCCUGCCCCGACGGUAGUGUAUGAAUAAGCAUCGGCUAACUCCGUGCCAGCAGCCGCGGUAAUACGGAGGAUGCAAGCGUUAUCCGGAUUCAUUGGGUUUAAAGGGUGCGUAGGCGGCUUUUUAAGUCAGUGGUGAAAUCCUGUCGCUUAACGAUAGAAUUGCCAUUGAUACUGAAGAGCUUGAGUACAAUUGAGGUAAGCGGAAUGUGUAGUGUAGCGGUGAAAUGCUUAGAUAUUACACAGAACACCGAUUGCGAAGGCAGCUUACUAAACUGUUACUGACGCUGAUGCACGAAAGCGUGGGGAGCGAACAGGAUUAGAUACCCUGGUAGUCCACGCCGUAAACGAUGAUCACUCGCUGUAUGCGAUACACAGUAUGCGGCCAAGCGAAAGCAUUAAGUG
rnacentral:rRNA from 1 species